rnacentral:rRNA from 1 species
GAUGAACGCUAGCUACAGGCUUAACACAUGCAAGUCGAGGGGUAACGAGAGGAAAGCUUGCUUUCCUUGUCGACGACCGGCGCACGGGUGAGUAACGCGUAUCCAACCUGCCCCCAACUAGGGAAUAACCUUGCGAAAGUAAGACUAAUACCCUAUAAUUUCCUCAGAUGACAUCUGACGAGGAAUAAAGAUUUAUCGGUUGUGGAUGGGGAUGCGUCUGAUUAGCUUGUUGGCGGGGUGACGGCCCACCAAGGCAACGAUCAGUAGGGGUUUUGAGAGGAAGGUCCCCCACAUUGGAACAUGGACACGGUCCAAACUCCUACGGGAGGCAGCAGUGAGGAAUAUUGGUCAAUGGGCGGAAGCCUGAACCAGCCAAGUAGCGUGCAGGAUGACGGCCCUAUGGGUUGUAAACUGCUUUUAUACAGGAAUAAAGUUAGCCACGUGUGGUUAUUUGUAGGUACUGUAUGAAUAAGGACCGGCUAAUUCCGUACCAGCAGCCGCCGUAA